rnacentral:rRNA from 1 species
AACGUAGGGGGCGAGCGUUGUCCGGAAUUACUGGGCGUAAAGGGCGCGCAGGCGGUCACUUAAGUCAGAGGUGAAAACUAUCGGCUCAACCGGUAGCCUGCCUUUGGGACUGGGUGGCUUGAGGGCAGGAGAGGGGAGUGGAAUUCCCGGUGUAGCGGUGAAAUGCGUAGAUAUUGGGAGGAACACCAGUGGCGAAGGCGGCUCUCUGGCCUAACCCUGACGCUGAGGCGCGAAAGCGUGGGGAU